rnacentral:rRNA from 1 species
UCCGAAGGGGGCUAUCGUUGUUCGGAAUUACUGGGCGUAAAGCGCAUGUAGGCGGGUCGUUAAGUCGGGGGUGAAAGCCCAGAGCUCAACUCUGGAACUGCCUUCGAUACUGGCGACCUGGACCCAAGGAGAGGCGAGUGGAAUUGCGAGUGUAGAGGUGAAAUUCGUAGAUAUUCGCAGGAACACCAGUGGCGAAGGCGACUCGCUGGACUUGUGGUGACGCUGAGAUGCGAAAGCGUGGGGAGCAAACAGG